rnacentral:misc_RNA from 1 species
GUUCACACCUUCAAAGAAUGGGUGCUGCUUUAUCUCUGUAGCGCCUCGCUUGUACCCGAGACGGUGCUGGGGCUCCUUCAUAAGCAGGCCUCGGAUCAGGUCUCUGGCGGAGAAGCUCACGAGCGGAGAUUCCGGAAACCGUAGCGGCUGGCCGACCACGUUGAACAGCGUCGCUCGAUUCCCAGACCCCUUGAAAGGGGUCUUCCCAAACAGAAGCUCGUACAAGAAGAUACCGAACGUCCACCAGUCGACUGCGCUCCCAUGC